rnacentral:rRNA from 1 species
CGCUCGAACGCGCUCCUACGACCCUCACGCGUCGC